GAUGAACGCUGGCGGCGUGCCUAAUACAUGCAAGUCGAGCGAACAGACGAGGAGCUUGCUCCUCUGACGUUAGCGGCGGACGGGUGAGUAACACGUGGAUAACCUACCUAUAAGACUGGGAUAACUUCGGGAAACCGGAGCUAAUACCGGAUAAUAUAUUGAACCGCAUGGUUCAAUAGUGAAAGACGGUUUUGCUGUCACUUAUAGAUGGAUCCGCGCCGCAUUAGCUAGUUGGUAAGGUAACGGCUUACCAAGGCAACGAUGCGUAGCCGACCUGAGAGGUGGAUCGGCAACACUGGAAAUGAGACACGGUCCAGACCCCUACGGGAGGCAGCAGGAGGGAAUCUUCCGAAAGGGGCGAAAGCCUGACGGAGCAACGCCGCGGGAGUGAUGAAGGUCUUCGGAUCGUAAAACUCUUUUAUUAGGGAAAAAAAAAUGUGUAAGUAACUAUGCACUUUUGGACGGUACCAAAUCAAAAAGCCACGGCUAACUACGU
rnacentral:rRNA from 1 species